GGCGACGUAGCCAAGUGGUAAGGCAGGGGUCUGCAAAACCCUUAUUCGCCGGUUCGAUCCCGGCCGUCGCCU
rnacentral:tRNA from 1 species